UGCGUGCUCUUUAUUACGAACCAGUAUUUUCAAUUUCCUUAUAAUAGGUCAAAUUGGCAGUGAUGUUAGAUAAGCUGCGCAUUGUGAAGCUAUCAAAAUGAUUGCAAUUUUUGUUUUUGUUGUGCUUGUAUUGUCGCUAUUACUCUUUGCAAACGCAAAACCUGGUAAUGAAGAAAUGAUGAUGUAUAAAAAUAAUGAUAGUUCCAGAGGCAUAAGUCUACGAUUACAACCAGAGGAAUCACAACUUGAAAACUGUAUGAAGAUAACAUCAAAUGUGUAUUGACAUUAAUCUUAUAAGUACUAAAAUUAAUGAGAAAUAUAUCAAGAAAAUUUUGAAAACAUAUUAUUUUGGGAUGGCGUUAUAUCAGUGAAUGAUUUAUGUACUUGGCCUUUAUCUUGAUCAGUAGUGUCAAUAAAUUAUUGAUGUGUUGAGCUGAAGA